rnacentral:rRNA from 1 species
GAUGAACGCUGGCGGCGUGCCUAAUACAUGCAAGUCGAGCGAACAGACGAGGAGCUUGCUCCUCUGACGUUAGCGGCGGACGGGUGAGUAACACGUGGAUAACCUACCUAUAAGACUGGGAUAAAUUCGGGAAACCGGAGCUAAUACCGGAUAAUAUAUUGAACCGCAUGGUUAAAUAGUGAAAGACGGUUUUGCUGUCACUUAUAGAUGGAUCCGGGCCGCAUUAGCUAGUUGGUAAGGUAACGGCUUACCAAGGCAACUAUGCGUAGCCGACCUGAAAGGGUCAUUGGCUACCCUGUAUCUGAGACACGGCCGCCACUCUUGAGCUAGGCAGCAGUCCGGACUCCUCCGCAAUGGACGAAUGCCUGACGUUGCACCGCCGCGUGAACCCUGAUGCUCUUCCGCUCGUAAAACUCUGUUAUUUUGGAAGAACUAAUGUGCUAUUAACUGUGCACGUCUUGACGGUACCUUAUCAGAAAGCCCCGGCUAACUACGUG